GUAGAGCCCAUCGAAUAGAAGGUGGUGUGACUUGGGAUUCUAAAAAGGAGACUCGGGGUUAGAAGGGGUGCGUGGUGUCAAGAAUGAACAAGAAACAUGCUGGACUCAGGAAGCCGGCUGGCCGCAGUGAAAUGGAGACUCUGGAGCACAGGCCGCGGGGCUGCAAGGCGCAACCUGAAGGCUUGCUCCGCUCUGGAAAGGCCCUGCUCCUCCUGGACGGUGUCUCUUCCCUUCCCGCCUCCCCUCGGAGGCUGCCUCCCCUCGGACAGGACCAGGAGCCCAUCCACCACCCAGGGAGCAGUGCGGCUUUGUGCUUAGGCCUCCGGGGAAGUGAGCUGUUUCCUUGAUGUCCUACAAAGAGGAUUAUUCACUUGGAAAAACAGAAGCUUGUCAAGCUGCCACAAUCGCCAGGGAAGAUUCCAUCUCUCUCUGAUGGAGAUAAAUGGAACGGGAGACGUGGGGCUGAAGAGCGGGGGCUGGCUGAAGGGAAUGAGGUGAGAAACAUCUUGGGUGGAGAUGAUAUUAGUCACACAUGUUAACCCUGCCUUAGGCUGGGAAUCCAGAAUUGAGAAAUGAACUCCACCAAGAUGGAAGGAUAAGAGGAGAUCCGUUCCAAACUCCCACUGGCCCCGCGGUGGGAAAUCAACACUGUCCCACGUCCUAAUCCCACUACCUACCUUCUGCCCCGCUAGAGUUGUCCACAAUCAAAGCCAUUUCUCCUUUUAACAUGGACAGAGGGUGGUGAUGUCUGCAAUAGCUCUGUGCCCUAAAGCUGCUCAGAAGGGAAUGCAGAGAAACCAGCGUGCUCUCUUGUUUUCACAUGGGACUACAUUCCCAUAGGGCAGCUUAGUUACUUAGGUAAGAUUCCCAGGACACUGCGCGAGGCCAGCCAGGCAUGACAAGAAAGGGCAAUACCCUGCCCCAUGGAAGGACCGUUCAAGGGAGGGAUUGGGCUGUCGAGUGGCUGGUGUGGAUAUCUGCACGUCAUGAUUUAUCCAGGACUGAGGGAGGACAGCAAAGGCCCCGCGGCUACUGGAAACCCCAUCAUGUCGCUGAGCACUGGGCUCCACUUUGCUACUCAUGGAUGGAGACAGCGCUUCCUACACGUGCCGUAGGAGCUUCCUGGGCAGAACAGAACAUGAUCGUGGAAACGAGUCUUCGCCAAGGCAGCGCAGAGGGCCGAGGGGUGGGGCGCACUAGAUGGCAUUGUGGAUUUUCACAGGACUAAGCAAGCUAAUGUAUGUGGAUGUGUUUGAGAAACAAUAAAGCACUUCACAGGUCUCACGCCUCAUCAAUGCUGCCUCUUGGAUCCAUACCUCCUCUCCAGGCCAUUGUCCUGCCCACAGCUCAGACUCCAGAGACCCCCAUCCAGAGCCCUGUGAGAGCUCAUUCCUCGAUCCCCAUUAUUCCAGUUCCUUCCUAUCAAUCCCUUGCUGGAACUGCCGUAUGGUGCUCUUUCUACGACAGGAAUCUGAUCACAUCGUUGUCCUGAUUAUGAAAGGUUGGGUAACUUGCCCAAGGCCAUACAGCUGCACUGGCUCUGGGGAAGCUGCUGCGCUGUGGAGGGGCCGUGUGCUGAGGGCUGGAGCUGUGGCUGAUGGCCUGGGAGCAGGUUUGGAUCCUCAGAUGGCUGCAAUCCCUGCUGGCACUGUGACUGCUGGGUCUCCUGAGAGACUCUGACCCGAAAACACUCAGCGAAGACCCUCUCAGAUUCCCGACCCACAGAAACUGUGAGAUAGUAAGUGUUUGCUGUUUGAGUUCACUGAGUUUGGGAUAAUUUGUUCUACAGCAAGGAAUAACUAAUGUAUGUGGCUCUGCGUUUUGCCUGUAUAGAAGGCAAAGGCUUGGUCGUCCGGCAGACAAGAGCUCAAGCCGAGAAAAACACUCCAGGGCCCCAUUUUCCAGCCUGGUGCUGCAACCACAAAAUUAGGGGUGGGGAGGACGGGAACACUUAGGUUGCCACGCUGUUCCAGUCUCCAGCCUAGCUGUUUUCAAAGCUCAGGUGCCUCUAAUACUCAAGACAAUGCCAUCUGACUGAUGAGGAAGCUGAAACUUCGAUGAUUAGGCCCUGGUAAUGAAUGUCUGCGGUGGUCCCCAUGGUCCUGGUUUCCCUUUGUCUUAUCCCAGAUGCUCAAAAUGCCAGAUUCUAACUUGGCAAGAAGACUCAUCCUCUUUCUUGUAACAUAUUAUAAUCUCUGUCUUCUAUAAAAUACUCAGGCUUCUAGAGAGGAUGGAGAAGAAGCUGGAGUAACAGCAAGUUGGCUCCAGAAAUUGGUUUACAAAGCAGAAAUCCAGAUGUUUUCUCUUUUUUUCUCUCUAAACAUCAAAUCAAGCAGCAGCUUGCAACACUCUGUGUGGCCCAGCUGAAGAAAUUCUAAACAUUGCUUCAAGGAUCUAACUCACAACUCAUCUUAAACCAUCACAAGAAAACUCCCAUUAGAGCGGGAGAGGGGAAGUGUGUGUUAAUGAGCUGAAGUGUGAGAAUGGGAUGAAUAAGCAGAAGCUUGAAUGCAGCACGGAGGCGAAUGAAAUAAUUACCCAGCUUACCAU
rnacentral:lncRNA from 10 species